UAGAAUGUGGGUAGUAACAGAGGUUUGAUAUGGCUCAGAUUGAACAACUGGCGGGAUGCUUUACAUGCAAGUCGAACAGCGGCACGGACUUCAGUCUGGUGGCGAGUGGCGGGUGAGUAAUGUAUGGAACGUGCCUAAAUGGCAGGAUAACUACGCGAAAGCGUAGCUAAUACCACAUACCUGCCGCUGGAAAGCAAGCCUUCGGGCCUCACUAUUAGAGCGGCGAUAUCAGUUAGCCCUAGUUGGUGGGGUAACGGCUCUGCUUCGUAGCUGGUUUGAGGACGACCAGCCACACUGGGACUGAGACGGCGAACUCACAGGAGGCAGCAGUGGGGUACAAUGGGGAAACCCUGAUCCAGCCAUCCCGCGUGUGCGAUGAGCCUUCAGGUUGUAAAGCACUUUGGCAGGAAAACGGCACGGGAUAAUACCCCGUGCAACUGACGUACCUGCAGAAUAAGCACCGGCCUAACUACGUGCCAGCAGCCGCGGUAAUACGUAGGUGCAAGCGUUAAUCGGAGUUACUGGGUAAAGCGUGCGCAGGCGGUUCAGGAAGAAGAUGUAACUUUGGAACUGCAUUUUAACUACCGAGCUAGAGUGUGUCAGAGGAGGUGGAAUUCCGCGUGAAGUGAAAUGCGUAAUGCGGAGGGGAACACCGUGUGAAGGCAGCUCCUGGGAUAACACUGACGCUCAUGCACGAAAGCGUGGGAGCAAACAGGAUUAGGCCUGGUAGUCCACGCCCUAAACGAUGUCAACUAGCUGUUGGGCCUUCGGGCCUUGGUAAGCGCAACUAACGCGUGAGACCGCCUGGGUACGGUCGCAAGAUUAAAACUCAAAGGUGACAGGGACACUGCUAACAGGACGGUGGAUGAUGUGGAUUAAUUCGAUGCAACGCAAAACACCUACCCUUGACAUGUCUGGAAUCCCGAAGGGAUUUGGGAGUGCUCAUGAGAACCGGAACACAGGUGCUGCAUGGCUGUCGUCAGCUCGUGUCGUGAGAUGUUGGGUUAAGUCUGUGAAGCUGUCCCUUGUCAUUAGUUGCUACGAAAGGGCACUCUAAUGAGACUGCCGGUGACAAACCGGAGAAGGUGAAGACGUCAAGUCCUCAUGGCCCUUGGGUAAGGGCUUCACACGUCAUACAAUGGUCGGGACAGAGGGUCGCCAACCCGCGAGGGGGGAGCCAAUCAGAAGCGAUCGUAGUCGGAUCGCAGUCUGCAACUCGACUGCGUGAAGUCAGAAUCGCUAGUAAUCGCGGAUCAGCAUGUCGCGGUGGUGUUCCGGGUCUUGUAUACCCACCGCCAAUCACCAUGGGAGUGGGUUUUACCAGAAGUAGUUAGCCUAACCAUAAGGAGAGGCGAUUACCACGGUGAUUCAUGACUGGGGUGAAGUCGUAACAAGGU
rnacentral:rRNA from 1 species